AGCCGGAGUAUUAACAGAAAUUCGUUUGUCCCUCUCAGUAAUAAAACCAACAACGUUCUUUGCAUUCACGGAAAAUAAGGUGCCCGGUACCAAAAAAGUUAAAAUUAGCAUAAAUGUUCUAUUCAUUGUGUCGUUCUCUUUGAAUUCGGACUAAAUGGAUGUAAUGUUGGUCUACGUUACAGUCUGACUAUUUUCCUGCGUCGAACGUGCUUAUUUGAUCAUUGGAUUAUGUCUAUCUUGUUUCUG
rnacentral:lncRNA from 1 species